rnacentral:rRNA from 1 species
CGUGCAGGCGGGUUGGUAAGUCAGAUGUGAAAGCCCUGGGCUCAACCCAGGAAGUGCAUUUGAAACUGCCAUCCUUGAGUAUGGGAGAGGAGAGUGGAAUUCCCAAUGUAGAGGUGAAAUUCGCAGAUAUUGGGAGGAACACCCGUGGCGAAGGCGACUCUCUGGACCAAUACUGACGCUGAGACGCGAAAGCGUGGGGAGCAAACA